rnacentral:rRNA from 1 species
AACGUAGGAUGCGAGCGUUAUCCGGAGUUACUGGGCGUAAAGCGCGGGCAGGCGGUGUCGCACAUGGGACGUGAAAGCGCCCGGCUCAACCGGGCGAGGCCGUUCCAGAUGGCGGCGCUGGAGGGCAGCAGAGGGACGUGGAAUUCCGGGUGGAGUGGUGAAAUGCGUAGAGAUCCGGAGGAACACCAGAGGCGCAGGCGGCGUCCUGGGCUGCACCUGACGCUGAGCCGCGACAGCCAGGGGAGCGAAC